GUGGAGUCUGUACAGCUCUGUCCAAUGGGAAUAUGCUUCCAAACCAGAGGCGUUUGCGCACCUUGCAUGCACACAGGUAAAAUCUAACUGACCCAGCCCACAACAAUUUCAAGUCCAUUGGCCUCAGAGUGAUGUGUCCUGGUGGAUUGACUGCAGACAUCCCAGCAGCUGGUAAUAAGGGCUGCCUGGUGAGGCCACAGUCUCAAAGACAGACUGGAAAGCUCUGCGGUCCAGCUCCUCGUCAAUCUGGUGCCGGUAGAAAUCCAUGGCCACAAGGCAGAACAGGUUGACAUCCACCACCUCACUGGAACCCAUUCGACUGAUCACAUGUGGCAGUCUGGUUGAGCACAGGGGGGUUAAGGACAACACUGUUUGAUAAGCUGUACGUUUACACUUUGCUGAAACAUCCCAACAUACAGUACAGAUACAACAACCUAAUCACAGUCCUGCUCACGGGACUUGUGUCAUGCAAGGAUACAAGGCUGAGAUCCACUGGGAGGUGGAAGCAGAGACAAAGAAACAGGAGAGGCUCCACAUGGCCAUGGCCACUGGUGUCCUCUGAGUGAAGUUGGACAAGGACAGCAGCACCCAGUCUCGCACCAUAGAGGACUGGCCUGUGGCGUGGAGUGUUUGGAAAACCUAGAGGUCGGUACAGAGCAGAGGGAGAGGCAGGAAAAUGAGAGGAACUGUACAGAAUAUAAAGAUGAAAGAUUUGAUUAGCUUGUCAAUUUUUCAAAAUGUUUUAAAAUUACAUUUGCAGUUAUUUAAGUAGCCUGUAAAUUUUGUUUUGUUGUUGUUGUUUCUACCAACAGUAUGUGCAUUUUUUGAGGACCGGCAUGAAUUUCAGAUGCAUUGAGCAUCUGCUGACUCACAAGUGCUUUUCUUUCCCUGACAGAAACUUGCUGUCAUUUGUCUGUAAUUAGGAAAAACAAG